GAUGGAGCAACGCCGCGUGAGUGAUGAAGGGUUUCGGCUCGUAAAACUCUGUUGUUGGAGAAGAACAGGUGAUAGAGUAACUGUUAUCAUCUUGACGGUAUCCAACCAGAAAGCCACGGCUAACUACGUGCCAGCAGCCGCGGGUAAUACGUAGGUGGCAAGCGUUGUCCGGAUUUAUUGGGCGUAAAGCGAGCGCAGGCGGUUUUUUAGGUCUGAUGUGAAAGCCUUCGGCUUAACCGGAGAAGGGCAUCGGAAACCGGGAGACUUGAGUGCAGAAGAGGACAGUGGAACUCCAUGUGUAGCGGUGAAAUGCGUAGAUAUAUGGAAGAACACCAGUGGCGAAGGCGGCUGUCUGGUCUGUAACUGACGCUGAGGCUCGAAAGCAUGGGUAGCGAACAGGAUUAGAUACCCUGGUAGUCCAUGCCGUAAACGAUGAGUGCUAAGUGUUGGAGGGUUUCCGCCCUUCAGUGCUGCAGCUAACGCAUUAAGCACUCCGCCUGGGGAGUACGACCGCAAGGUUGAAACUCAAAGGAAUUGACGGGGGCCCGCACAAGCGGUGGAGCAUGUGGUUUAAUUCGAUGCUACGCGAAGACCUUACCAGGUCUUGACAUCUUCUGCUA
rnacentral:rRNA from 1 species